UCGGGAAUUUUGGGCAAUGGGCGAAAGCCUGACCCAGCAACGCCGCGUGAAGGAUGAAGUAUUUCGGUAUGUAAACUUCGAAAGAAUAGGAAGAAUAAAUGACGGUACUAUUUAUAAGGUCCGGCUAACUACGUGCCAGCAGCCGCGGUAAUACGUAGGGACCAAGCGUUGUUCGGAUUUACUGGGCGUAAAGGGCGCGUAGGCGGUCAUGACAAGUCACUUGUGAAAUCUCCGGGCUUAACUCGGAACGGCCAAGUGAUACUGUCACGCUAGAGUAUUGGAGGGGCAAUCGGAAUUCUUGGUGUAGCGGUGAAAUGCGUAGAUAUCAAGAGGAACACCUGAGGUGAAGACGGGUUGCUGGCCAAAUACUGACGCUGAGGCGCGAAAGCCAGGGGAGCAAACGGGAUUAGAUACCCAUGUAGUCCCUGAGCGGGCUGGCAAGGCGCAU
rnacentral:rRNA from 1 species